rnacentral:rRNA from 1 species
GUGGGGGAUUUUGGACAAUGGGCGAAAGCCUGAUCCAGCGACGCCGCGUGGAGGACGAAGCCCUUCGGGGUGUAAACUCCUUUUCUCAGGGAAAAAGGAUGAUGGUACCUGAGGAAUAAGCCCCGGCUAACUACGUGCCAGCAGCCGCGGUAAUACGUAGGGGGCGAGCGUUACCCGGAAUUACUGGGCGUAAAGGGUGCGUAGGCGGCCUUGCAAGUCCGGUGUUAAAAGCCCUGGCUCAACUAGGGAGAUGCGCUGGAAACUGUAAGGCUUGGGUGCAGCAGAGGCAGAUGGAACUGCUGGUGUAGGGGUGAAAUCCGUAGAUAUCAGCAGGAACGCCGGUGGAGAAGUCGGUCUGCUGGGCUGUGACCGACGCUGAGGCACGAAAGCUAGGGGAGCGAACCGGAUUAGAAACCCUAGUAGUCCC